UAGAUACCCGGGUAGUCCACGCCGUAAACGAUGUCUACUAGCCGUUGGGACCCUUGAGGUUUUAGUGGCGCAGCUAACGCAAUAAGUAGACCGCCUGGGGAGUACGGUCGCAAGAUUAAAACUCAAAUGAAUUGACGGGGGCCCGCACAAGCGGUGGAGCAUGUGGUUUAAUUCGAAGCAACGCGAAGAACCUUACCAAGACUUGACAUCCUGAUAGCUUUCUAGAAAUAGAUUGGUGCCUUCGGGAAAUCAGAGACAGGUGCUGCAUGGCCGCCGUCAGAAG
rnacentral:rRNA from 1 species